CCUAUUGUUGGGAACCCAAGGAGAGCCUGGAUAAACAACGGAAGAGCCUUGAGAUGACCAUGAUAGAUGUGCUUGCAAAGGCGGGGAGACUUUGAAAAAGCAAAGGGAUAAUGAAGAACAACUUUGCCUGAACUCGAAGUCCUCUCCCAGGCUAACAUUUUUGAAAUUGCUGACGUCUACAAAAGAAAAACAGGAGAUAAGUUGGGCAUCCCAGGGCCCUGCCUUCUUGUUACUCCUAUCACUCUCUCCUGUGAGCUGUACUCCCUUCUCCCGCUUUCAAGAGGAGAAAGUGACACUUUCUGAGCUUUCAGUACUUUGGGGAGUUUUUUUUUUGUAUCUGCAGGUGCAGCCAAGACCUUGGCAAGUGACAGGCUGAUUAGCUCAUGUUGGAAAAACAGCAACACUGUCUUGUUAAUUCUUCUUCAAGGUCUUGAGCAAAGCAUAAAUUCAGAUGAAAAGGAAAGUGGGGUAUUUAGAAUCCCAGGCAGCAAAUCAGGUGGCUUGUCAUGUCAACAUCUGUGGAAGCUGCUGAGAUUUUCAUCAAUUUCUGCUCAUUGUUCCUUUUUCCUAUGCAUAUACUUCUUUGAGAAUCUGAUCUAAAGAGGCAUACGGCAUGGGAAAAUGGGGCAAUUGAGGUAUUCCUCCACCAUCCGACUCAUCUUCAUGAAUCAGCUUUUGAAGGUAUUGCCAUUUGAAGUUAACACCUGCUAAAUGGACUGGACAGUUUUUUUUGGGUUUUUUUGUUGUUGUUUUUUUUGCAAAGUGUAUAUUUCAGCCUUGCAUGUCAGUACUUUUUGCAUCUCACUUAGCUUUUAUGUGAAUGGCUAUUUACAAAUGCUUUCUUAAGUCUGCAUAAAUGUCUUCAUAUUGUCUGUAGACAUAUAUUAUGACUUGCAUAGAAGACUGUCAAUCCUUUUAACAGCUUCUUAGCAAGCAAAGUUCAGCAGGAGCAGUUUAUCCUUCCAUAAGCGCUUGCUGAUAUAAAACUAACAGCAAUUGUUCAUGUCUACCAAUGCAACAUAAAUGUAAUGGAGGAGAAUGUUAUGUUGUUAUUUGCUCAUCACAAGCCACAAAAUUAAUUUCUUCUUUGUUUCCUCCACAGGCUAUUUUUCAUGCAAUGCUCAUUGUUUAAAGACAAGUUGCAUUAGCGGAUUCUUUCAUUGCUUUUCACCCUGAGUCCUCUCGGGGAGAUAGGACAGAAUAUAAAUAAAGUCUAAGUAUUAUUAUUUCAUGUUUUUGUCUUUUUUUUAAGCCAAGGAAAACCAUUUUAUAAGGUUACAAUUAUAAUUAUAAUAUGAUUCUAUAGGAUAAAAAGAGAGGAAAGGAAAGUGUGUCCAGUAAAUAAUGUACCAAAAAUUUCCAGGCCUCCAAACUGUAUAAGUUAGGUAUUUUUAAGUGUGUCUUAAAUCUGCAUUCCUAAGCAUGCUCAAACCUACUUAGCGACAUUCAGAGCAUGUACAGAGUUACACUGUGACUUGGUUAGCAGUUAGUUUGAGUGCAUACUUCAAAUGAAUAGUAAUCCAACUUUAUGCAUGUUACCAUUAAAGCCUAUAAAUUUCCAUGGUCUUUACUUCUUGCUAUGCCUAGCUAGGAUUGUUGUGCAAUGGAUCUAAUAUUUUUUAUUUAAAACUAUACAUGAAAAUAUAUUGAAUUUGAAUAUGCAUUGUAAUGAUAUCCAAAAAGUCCAAAAUAGUUAUUUCAAUGGUUCUGUUGACUUUCAUGUGAUGUGUAACUGGCUGCUUUGUUUAUUUCUUUUGAGAUGUUGAACAAUAAAAUUAAUCUAUCUGGA